CUGAAAUCAGGUAGGG
rnacentral:rRNA from 1 species